rnacentral:rRNA from 1 species
UAGGGAAUCUUCCGCAAUGGGCGAAAGCCUGACGGAGCAACGCCGCGUGAGUGAUGAAGGUCUUCGGAUCGUAAAACUCUGUUAUCAGGGAAGAACAAAUGUGUAAGUAACUGUGCACGUCUUGACGGUACCUGAUCAGAAAGCCACGGCUAACUACGUG